rnacentral:rRNA from 1 species
UACGUAGGGUGCAAGCGUUGUCCGGAAUUAUUGGGCGUAAAGAGCUCGUAGGCGGUUUGUCGCGUCUGCUGUGAAAACUCGGGGCUUAACCCCGGGCCUGCAGUGGGUACGGGCAGACUAGAGUGCGGUAGGGGAGACUGGAAUUCCUGGUGUAGCGGUGAAAUGCGCAGAUAUCAGGAGGAACACCGGUGGCGAAGGCGGGUCUCUGGGCCGGUACUGACGCUGAGGUGCGAAAGCGUGGGGAGCAAACAGG